GGAGCUGUAGCCACCGGCCUACGCCAGAGCCACAGCAACGCAGGAUCCGAACCGCGUCUGCAACCUACACCACAGCUCACGGCAACGCCGGAUCGUUAACCCACUGAGCAAGAGCAGGGACCGAACCCGCAACCUCAUGGUUCCUAGUCGGAUUCGUUAACCACUGCGCCACGACGGGAACUCCGCAACCACUUUUAAUUAAAGGCAAAGAAACUCAGGCCCAGAGUUGGAUCUUGGCAAAUGAGGGGCAGACAGUGCUAGCUCGGGGUUCCUAGACCCUAUAGGUAGGUAGUAUGAAGAUUUCUUAGUAUCUGUGGUGUCCCUCUCUUCUCCAGCAGGCACCCUAAGAGAGUGUGAGGGUGACAGCCCAGGGAGGGGAGGCAGUGGGACCAAGGGCUUUUCUGCAGAGAUAGCCCCCCAUCUCGCUCAUGGGGCCUUGUCCCCAGUUGGGUGCAAACUCGAGUCUCCUGUGCUCCUCCUCUUUCUCUCUUGAAGCCCAUCUGCUUCCACCAAGGCACUGCCUCCGCCACUGCCCCUGCCGCCCCUCAAGCCCUCCUCUGGUCUGUGUCCUCUCUGUCUUAUCUGUCUUGUGACAGGUGUACUAACAGUCCCCAGAGGCCAGUGGGGAAAGAAUGAGAAGCACGUCCCCCCUCUCGCUGCCCCUGACCCACUGCUCUGCUCCAGGCUCAUUGCUAAAUAUAGCCAAGGUCCUGGCCUCAGUGUGGCAACCUGGGUGGGGGGAGGGGGGUCAGGCUCAGCCAGUGGGACUCUGGGAGCCUCAGCCCACCUCAUCUCCUUCCCUGCCCUGGGUCCCCUGCCUUCUGAGCUGGUAUCAGGCCCCUGGCCUAUAGGAUCACUGGUGCCAGAACCCUCCUCUAGCCAAGAGCUCUGGGAUGGGGGAAGGACCUCCUCCUCAUGGCUCCCCCAGGGAGGGGGGAACUGAGCCCUGCCCCUGCCCCACCCUCACCCCAGUGUGCCCACCAAAGGCAUCAGCGCCCCAGGGAGGGUGAACCCUAAAGCCAGCAGCCCGAGUCUCGCCACAAACUCUGGGUAGUUCCUUUAGUGUCUGCGUUCUCAGGAGGAUCCCCUGCCAAAGAGAAACCUCGACUGUCCCCGUUUCCUCCCUGUCCUGUCUCCAUUGUGGUCUGAGCAGAUGGCAUGUACAGGCCAUCAGCCUCACCCCACUCCCACCCUCAGGAAUCUCCAGAAUCCCUGCUAUGGGCAUACAUCGUCAGAAUCACACUACAAGGAUGGCAGACCUGAGGACCCUCAGAGGUCACUGAGCCCUGCCACCCCACCCCUCAUUGUUCGGAUGGGGAAACAGGCCCCAAGAGGGGAAGGAGCUGACCUAGGAGGCUCCGCCAAGUGGUAGUAAGACCUCCCUACCCCAUCCAUCUGCCCUGAGUUUCCUGGGGCUUCAAAAGCAGAGGCAGGGGUUGGGUGAGGGCAGAACUCAGAAAUGGAACCAGACUUAGGGCAGGGUCUGAGCCCCAAGUGGUGGCCCUGAGCUCAGCUUCUUAGGGCUGGGCCAGCCUCCUAGGGUGACCCCCACUUUUGCCCCUAGGUCUGCUUUUUUCAGCCCAGCCCCCUCCAUGCCUCUCUAUACCUGGGCAGACUCAGAUCUGCUCCCCCCACCCCCCGCCCCCUGCAUGCCCCCAGGGUUUUCCCCAAGGGUUUUCCCACUGGGCAACAUGAUGAUCUGCAUCCCACCCCAGGUCCUGGGCCAUGAUAUGUGGGGAGCUGGGCUCAGGCCGGCCCUGGGGAAGCAUUCCUGGGGCCAGAUAUGCCAAGACUUUCUCUAGCAACAGCUGGGCACAGGGCUGGUCCUGGCAGUGCCGAGUCCGGCCUGCUUCCCACUCUCCAGCCCCCAUGUCCUCCCCCGCCUCCUCUGUCCACUUUCUUCCAGACACUGGGCCUCACUGGGGCUUCCCUGGAAAGAAGCCCUGAAGCCUGAGGAGCGCCAUACCUGUAUUUUAAAAAUUGUAACUUCAGACUGCCUCCUCCUGAAAGCCUUUGUGGAUUAGGCCAGACUGGCUGGAACCUACCCCUCUGCCGGCUUCAGGCCCUUGGCAGUCACCCCGAGAGCCCCUGUGGGGCUCAUGGUAACUCUCCCUUAACUUCCUCGUGUAUCCUUUCUUUCAGACCCGUCUACUCACCCGCCUUUCGGUGUGUGGCCCCUAAUAAUACUAGCCUGAGAGGGUCCAGAGGGGUCCUAGCCUGGAGAGCCAGCCUUGCUAGGAGAGACAAGGGGCCGGUUACUUACCUGAGGGUCCUGUUUGGCUGAUGGGGGUGUGGGGUCUGCGGCAGGUGUGGUCUAAGGGUCUGUGGUUCCUCUUGUUGUUGUUUGGGGCUGGUUGUGCUCUGCUGGCUCGGCCAGGUGCCUUCUCGCUGCCCAGGCUCUGGGUCUCUGUCC
ensembl:lncRNA